rnacentral:rRNA from 1 species
AGAGUUUGAUCCUGGCUCAGGACAAACGCUGGCGGCAUGCCUAACACAUGCAAGUCGAACGGACAGAACAGGGAAGCUCUUCGGAGUGGAACUGGAAAGUUAGUGGCGGAUGGGUGAGUAACGCGUGGACAACCUACCUUGUAAAGGGGAAUAACCUCGAGAAAUCGAAGCUAAUACCCCAUAAUAACCUUGUUUCGCAUGAAGCAAGGAGGAAAGGCGGCCUUAGUGCUGUCGAUACAAGAUGGGUCCGCGUCUGAUUAGGUAGUUGGUAGGGUAAUGGCCUACCAAGCCAACGAUCUAUAGCUGGUCUGAGAGGAUGAUCAGCCAGACUGGAACUGAGACACGGUCCAGACUCCUACGGGAGGCAGCAGUGAGGAAUCUUCCACAAUGGGCGAAAGCCUGAUGGAGCAACGCCGCGUGAAGGAUGAAGGCCUUCGGGUUGUAAACUUCUUUUAUGAGUGAAGAAUAUGACGGUAACUCAUGAAUAAGCACCGGCUAACUACGUGCCAGCAGCCGCGGUCAUACGUAGGGUGCAAGCAUUAUUCCCGGAGUGACUGGGCGUAAAGAGUUGCGUAGGCGGUUUAAUAAGUGAAUAGUGAAACCUGGUGGCUCAACCAUACAGACUAUUAUUCAAACUGUUAAACUCGAGAGUGGUAGAGGUAACUGGAAUUUCUAGUGUAGGAGUGAAAUCCGUAGAUAUUAGAAGGGAACACCAAUGGCGUAGGCAGGUUACUGGACCAUUUCUGACGCUAAGGCACGAAAGCGUGGGGGAGCGAACUGGAUUAGAUACCCAGGUAGUCCACGCCGUAAACGAUGGAUACUAGCUGUUUGGAGUAUCGACUCUUUCAGUUAGCGAAGCUAACGCGUUAAGUAUCCCGCCUGUGGAGUACGGCCGCAAGGCUAAAACAUAAAGGAAUUGACGGGGACCCGGCACAAGCGGUGGAUGUAUGUGGAUUAAUUCGAUGCAACGCGAAGAACCUUACCUGGUCUUGACAUGUACGGAAUCCUCCAGAGACGGAGGAGUGCCUUCGGGAGCCGUAACACAGGUGCUGCAUGGCUGUCGUCAGCUCGUGUCGUGAGAUGUUGGGUUAAGUCCCGCAACGAGCGCAACCCUUGUCAUUAGUUGCCAUCAUUUAGUUGGGCACUCUAAUGAGACUGCCGGUGACAAGCCGGAGGAAGGUGGGGAUGACGUCAAGUCAUCAUGGCCCUUACGGCCUGGGCUACACACGUGCUACAAUGGUCGGUACAGACGGUAGCGAAGCCGCGAGGUGGAGCCAAUCUGAGAAAGCCGAUCGUAGUCCGGAUUGCAGUCUGCAACUCGACUGCAUGAAGUCGGAAUCGCUAGUAAUCGCGAAUCAGCAUGUCGCGGUGAAUACGUUCCCGGGUCUUGUACACACUGCCCGUCACACCAUGGGAGUUUGUUGCACCAGAAGCAGGUAGCUUAACUUAGGAGGGCGCUUGCCACGGUGUGGCCGAUGACUGGGGUGAAGUCGUAACAAGGUAACC